CCUACGGGAGGCAGCAGUGAGGAAUAUUGGACAAUGGGCGCAAGCCUGAUCCAGCCAUGCCGCGUGCAGGAAGAAGCAUCUAUGGUGUGUAAACUGCUUUUGUACAGGAAGAAACACUCCCUCGUGAGGGAGCUUGACGGUACUGUAAGAAUAAGGACCGGCUAACUCCGUGCCAGCAGCCGCGGUAAUACGGAGGGUCCGAGCGUUAUCCGGAAUCAUUGGGUUUAAAGGGUCCGUAGGCGGUUUAAUAAGUCAGUGGUGAAAUCUGGUCGCUCAACGAUCAAACGGCCAUUGAUACUGUUAGACUUGAAUUAUAAGGAAGUAACUAGAAUAUGUAGUGUAGCGGUGAAAUGCUUAGAUAUUACAUGGAAUACCAAUUGCGAAGGCAGGUUACUACUUAUGGAUUGACGCUGAUGGACGAAAGCGUGGGGAGCGAACAGGAUUAGAUACCCUGGUAGUCCACGCCGUAAACGAUGGAUACUAGCUGUUCGGAGCAAUCUGAGUGGCUAAGCGAAAGUGAUAAGUAUCCCACCUGGGGAGUACGUUCGCAAGAUGAAACUCAAAUGAAUUGACCGG
rnacentral:rRNA from 1 species